UUGUUUCCGUGUUGCAGCGAAAACCGGUGUUUUUACAGUUCCGGGCAGGCAGUUAAUUCUGAAGGAAACAACAACGCGAAACCUGAUGGAACGUUCCACUGCCUUUCCCUCCCGACCUCUCAGCAGAGUGGUUGUGACCAGCUGUACCCAUGGCGAUGAGCUGGGAGGAGUCUGUCUGGUGAGGGAGUGGCUGAGGCAGGGCAACACCCCCUUUCUGCACUGGCGCAGCUUCAGAGCUCAGACACUGUUAGCCAAUCCCAGAGCAACCAAGCAGAACAGGAGAUACCUGGAGACAGACCUGAACAGGUGCUUCACAGCAGAGAUAUUGAGGUCUCUCUCUCCCCUACUCUCCUCUGCAGUGUUUUGAGCUCCAGCAGCCCUUUGAUUACCCCCGAGACGAGGAGGGCGUCCUGACAGCCUGCAUCCACCCAGAGAGACAGGUCAGUGUGUGUGUGUGUGUCUGUCCUGACAGCCUGCAUCCACCCAGAGAGACAGGUCAGUGUGUGUGUGUGUGUCUGUCCUGACAGCCUGCAUCCACCCAGAGAGACAGGUCAGUGUGUGUGUGUCUGUCUGUCUGUCCUGACAGCCUGCAUCCACCCAGAGAGACAGGUCAGUGUGUGUGUGUGUGUCUGUCCUGACAGCCUGCAUCCACCCAGAGAGACAGGUCAGUGUGUGUGUGUGUGUCUGUCCUGACAGCCUGCAUCCACCCAGAGAGACAGGUCAGUGUGUGUGUGUCUGUCUGUCUGUUCUGACAGCCUGCAUCCACCCAGAGAGACAGGUCAGUGUGUGUGUGUGUGUCUGUCCUGACAGCCUGCAUCCACCCAGAGAGACAGGUCAGUGUGUGUGUGUCUGUCUGUCCUGACAGCCUGCAUCCACCCAGAGAGACAGGUCAGUGUGUGUGUGUCUGUCUGUCUGUCCUGUCAGCCUGUAUCCACCCAGAGAGACAGGUCAGUGUGUGUGUGUGUCUGUCUGUCUGUCCUGUCAGCCUGUAUCCACCCAGAGAGACAGGUCAGUGUGUGUGUGUCUGUCUGUCUGUCUGUCUGUCCUGUCAGCCUGUAUCCACCCAGAGAGAAAGGUCAGUGUGUGUGUGUCUGUCUGUCCUGACAGCCUGCAUCCACCCAGA